rnacentral:rRNA from 1 species
UAGGGAAUCUUCGGCAAUGGACGAAAGUCUGACCGAGCAACGCCGCGUGAGUGAAGAAGGUUUUCGGACCGUAAAACUCUGUUGUUAGAGAAGAACAAGGACGUUAGUAACUGAACGUCCCCUGACGGUAUCUAACCAGAAAGCCACGGCUAACUACGUGCCAGCAGCCGCGGUAAUACGUAGGUGGCAAGCGUUGUCCGGAUUCAUUGGGCGUAAAGCGAGCGCAGGCGGUUUCUUAAGUCUGAUGUGAAAGCCCCCGGCUCAACCGGGGAGGGUCAUUGGAAACUGGGAGACUUGAGUGCAGAAGAGGAGAGUGGAAUUCCAUGUGUAGCGGUGAAAUGCGUAGAUAUAUGGAGGAACACCAGUGGCGAAGGCGGCUCUCUGGUCUGUAACUGACGCUGAGGCUCGAAAGCGUGGGGAGCAAACAGG